GAUUUGCCAUACUCUCCUUGCUAGAUCCAGCUUUGCUGUUUGUUUUUCCUCCUCUGACUGCCUGUUUCUAAGUCUUGAUAUCAUUUAUCUUUCAGACUCCAGACCUCUUUGAUUCUUCUUCAAAUGAAGAGAAAGGAAUUCCAUACAUGGAAUUGGGCAUAAAAAAUGAAGUUGAAAAAUAGAUUUAAAGCCAUCCUGAGUAUUUUACAUUAAGGUCAAGUAAACAUGCACACAUACAUACAUAUAGUAUAAUUACUGAAACUAAUGUUCAUAUGAAUAAUACUUUACACUAGUAUGUAAUAUAGUGUGUUAUUUUCUAUUAUGAUCAAUUUCUCUUCUUUUAAAGUCCCUGCUUCUGUUGGAUCCAAGGAGCUCAAUUUGCUGUUUGAAAGUGCUGUCCCCAGAGACAGCUUCACAAGAAAGUGGAACUGAAUAGGGGUAAGGCUUUAUUUAUAACAUUAUCAAGGUUUUAUUAGAAUUUCACUAGUGUUUGAAUUGCCUCCUUUUAUUUAAUAUGUAUAGGUCAGGAGUGGCAAACCCAUGGUAUGUGUGCUGCUACAGGCGCUCAGAACCUGCUCUGUUGAUGCCAAAGUUGAAUGGUCAUGGAAAAGAAUUCUAUGGAGGAUCAUCAUAAGUAGGAAACAACUAUAGCAGAUACCUCUGUUAAGGUGAGAGUAGUACCUGCUCAUAUCUCUGUCUACUCUCGUCCUUAGCAAACCAAACCACUUUAGACCUCAUCUCUCUUUAGACAACCAAUGUCUCCUAGUCCAGAGUCAACAUCUGAGCUCCAGUCU
rnacentral:lncRNA from 1 species